AUGGCGAGGCUGUACCUGCUCUGUGUCACGCGGUCCCCUCCACCCCGCUGUCCCUUUGGUGUGCAGCUUUGUGUAGAGUGCGGGUCCCGACAUUCAGGGAGGGGAGGGACAGAUGCACUUGGCCUCAGCCGUCUGGGCAGCCCCGGGUGCCCUCAUCGCAGCCUCCCCCGCUCUGGAACCAGAUGUCUCCACCGGGCCCUCGGAGGGUCGCACGGAUGGCCUGGCUUCCAGCUGGAAAAUGCCAGGAGUGACAAAGACCAAGUGGCCUUCGCCUCCGUGGUGCUUAUUGGUGGCCUGGAGACACGGUGGCUCCAGUUUUUACCAGGACCAAACGAACAAACCCACGACUACCAAGCCUGGAGAUGCCCAAGACCAGGGAAGCCCGCCCCUCACCCCUCUAGGGCCCGCAGACGCCACUCCCUGAAGGCAGGGCAGGGCGGGGCGCAGCUGAGGCCCUGGGUCUCCCCAGCUCCAACACAGGCGCUGCAGCUGAGGUCACAAGCUGGGUCGUUUGAGGCUGCACCGUGGCUCUGGCCCUGGCUCUCCUGCCCUCACUGCUGUGUUCAUUGCAGAAACCCUGAGUAGCCCCAGCACCCUCUACCAUCUUGGCCAGCCAGACUGGUGCGGAUGGAU
rnacentral:lncRNA from 1 species